GAUGAACGCUGGCGGCGUGCCUAAUACAUGCAAGUCGAGCGAACAGACGAGGAGCUUGCUCCUCUGACGUUAGCGGCGGACGGGUGAGUAACACGUGGAUAACAUACCGAUAACUCUGGGAGAACAACGGGAAACCAGAGCGAAUAACGCAUAAUAUAUUGGACCGCUUGGUUCAAUAGUCUAAGACGGUUUUGGUUUCACUUGUAGAUGGACCCGCGCCGCAUUAGCUAGUUGGUAGGGUAAUGGCUUACCAAGGCAGCGAUGCGUAGCCGACCUGAGAGGGUGGUCGGCCGCACUGGAACUGAGGAACGGUCCAGACUCCUACGGGGGGCAGCAGUAGGGAAUCUUACGGAAUGGGCGAAGGAUGGAUGGAGCAGCGCCGCGGGAGUGAUGAUGGUCUUCGGCUCGUAAAGCUCUGUUAUUAGGGAAGAACAAGUGUUUAAGUAUCUAUGCGCGUGUUGACGGUACCUGGUCAGAAAGCCCCGGCUAACUACGUG
rnacentral:rRNA from 1 species